AGGGCUUCUUGAACUGUGAGUCUCCUCUUGAAUGUCUGGUCGACUUGAAGGCAGGAGGAGACUUCUUUAAAUGCUGGGAAGAGGUAGCUGGAUGGAGUUAAUGGCGCUCUUCCUUCUUUUCUGUUGAAAACCAGUUGGCAGAGAUAGGAUGCUUGAUUUCUUUGAGUGGAAUGGUGCUUCUCUGCCUUGCUACAGUCCUCUGUGGCUAUUUAAGCCAUCCCCCA
rnacentral:lncRNA from 1 species